UGUAAGCGCUGCAUGUUGUUCAGUAACAGGGACAAUAUUGGCCUGUGGUCUCCGAGGGACCUUGGCCAAGAGUUAUUCUGGGUGCCGGGCUCGUACCCCCCGGGCCGGGUCCGAUCCCUGCCAGAGAAAACAAAGUCGCUCCAGCAAGAAGAGCUGGCGGAGGGCAGAAGAGGCGCUGAGCUGGCGCUCCGCCCCUAAAGGCAAAGCCUGCGAACCGGGACUGGAGAAAGGAGGAAGAAA